AUGACGGAUGACGGCCAAAGCAGCCAACUUGCUGCUCUGGAGAAAGUGUUGCUCGAUGAAACCGCGGAUCCAGUUGAUCUGCCUUUCUCGCUGCUCAGCUCCAUCACAGGAAACUUCUCUGAAGAUAAUGAAAUCGGCAGGGGUGGGUUCGGAGCGGUUUACAAGGGAGUGCUUCCAAGUGGUCGCACUGUCGCCGUGAAGCGGCUCUUCGAGAGGUACGAGAUCCUGGACAAGAAUUUCGAGAGCGAGGUCACCUGUCUCGCGGUGGUCAGGCACAAGAAUACCGUGCGAUUUCUCGGGUACUCCUCUGAAACGCAGCAAGUACUGAUGCCAUAUGACGGGAAGCAUGUCUUGGCAGAUGUGCGGCAUAGGCUGCUCUGCUUCGAGUACAUGCCCAAAGGGUGCCUUCCUGACUAUCCCUCCGAUGCAUCUUGUCAACUUCAAUGGACCACAUGUUACCAAAUAAUCAAGGGCAUCUGUGAGGGCGUACAUUAUCUUCAUCAGCAACGUAUUAUUCACAUGGACCUCAAACCUCAGAAUGUACUAUUGGAUGAUAACAUGGUGCCCAGAAUAGCGGAUUUCGGUCUAUCACACCGCUUAAGUGGGAGCCGGAGUCGGGCUAUUACUGAAAACAAGCUUGGGACGAUGGGAUAUAUGGCACCAGAAUUCUUAAAUAAUGGAGAAAUUACCUGCAUGGCAGACAUAUAUAGUUUGGGUGUUAUAAUCAUGGAGAUCCUUAUGAGACAUAAGGAAUGCUCUAAUGUUGAGGAGCAGGUAGUUGAAAGUUGGGCAAACAAGUUCGGGGUAUCAGAGAGCCAGACAACAUUGGAACAAGUAAAAGUAGGUGCUGAGAUAGGGAUAAAAUGCAUGAACUAUGACCCAAGGAAUAGGCCUGCUACAUGGUUUAUCAUUCGUGGAAUACUGGGUGAAGCGGAAAUUUCAAACUGGUCUAUUACAAGUGAUGUAGCUACCUCGACAGAAGGGCAGAUAGGCUUUGCCUCCAAGUUGGUGGAUGAAUUGAAGUUCAUGGAUGAUUCCGCUGCAGCAUCCGAACUGCAGCCAUCAGUGCUGGAGGUAGAGCAGGAGGAUGGCAAAGUGAGCCUAGAGAGUAAGGGGAAGGCAACAGCAGUGACUGUGGCGACUGGGGUGAGCACCCUCAGUGCCAAGCUUGCCAAGCUCAUGGGUGACGAGUACAUUAAGCGCAAAGAGGUGAGGAAGCAGGCGUCCUUCCUCAAGGAGUUGAGCACCAUAAACGCUGUCCUUGAGCAGCUGGAGCUCAUGAUUGAGCUCGCUCCAGCAGUAAAAAAUUGGAGGGAUGAUGUCAGGGAGAUCUCCUAUGACAUGGAGAAUUGCAUUGAUGACUUCAUGCGCCAAUUUGGAGGUGAGGAUGCUGAAGCAAGCUUCACCAGGGAGGCUGCUGAACUUCACAAGAGGUUGUGCGAGCUUCAUAGGAUUGCCAACCAGAUGGAAGAGCUCAGGACUCUUGUGGUAGAAGCAAAUGCUCGACGUGAGAGCUACAAGAUUGAUGAUUGCAAGCCUAGCUUUGUGGGUGUCGACCCUCGGCUGUCAGCAGUCUACCAGGAGGCAACUAGUCUUGUGGGCAUUGACGGCCCAAGGGAGGAGGUUGCCAAUUGGUUGAUGGAUACUCAGAAAAAACUCAAGGUUGUGUCUGUUGUUGGUUUUGGAGGUCUGGGUAAAACUACACUUUCCAAACAGGUAUAUGAUAAGAUCAGGGGGCAUUUCAAGAGUGUGGCAUUCAUUUCAGUUUCACAGAAGCCUGAUAUGAGAGUGCUUCUCAGUCGCCUACAAUUGAAACUUGGGAUAAGUGUGUCUUCUCAUGAUUGCGGGUUUGAAGACAUCAUUGAAGAGCUAAUGAAGUAUCUCGCAGAUAAAAGGUACCUUAUUGUACUUGAUGACUUGUGGGAUCAAUCAGCAUGGAAUACUAUUAGUCUUGCUUUUCCAGAAAAUGGAAAUGGGAGUAGAAUAAUAGUAACGACACGAGUGGAAGAUGUGGCUAGUGUGGCCUGUCACAAUGACCGUAAGUGCAUUUACACAAUGAAGCCCCUCAAUGAACAGAAUUCAAGAAUGUUAUUCUCGAACAGAGUAUUUGGGUCUGAAGUUGUUUGUCCACUGUUGAGAUUCGCCGAAUUAUCACUUGCGCCUCCGUAA
rnacentral:rRNA from 1 species